UAAUUAGGACUAGAAGUAGCACUUUCACUUUUGUGUUUUGGAUCAACAGAGUAAUGUACUGUCCACCUUUGAUCCUUUUUAUGUAAUAACAUUUGAGAGACACAAACACAUGCAUCACAACUGAUAUGUAUUUGUUACAGUUAAAACCUGUUGGCUAGAGCAGUGCUUCAAUCUAGUAACUGGAUUUUAAUAAUUGACGCAUAAGUGACAUAAAAGGAAUUCAAGUCAUGGGUGAUAUUUUUCCUUUAGCAAGAGAUCAUUGUUUUUAAAUUGUUUGCUGUAAACAAGUGGAUAUACGUUAUUUGUUACCUUAUUUGGACGGAUGAUUUGCUACAAUCCUUUUUGAGAAGGUAAAGCUUUCUUGAACGAUACUUCACUCUAAAAGUUUUCAUGGGUGGGUCUGUUAUACUGAACAGAAAUAUUAAGUGUAUUUCCUUGUACAUUUAAUAUUUGUAUUCCAAAUAUUUAAGUAUGACUACAUAUAUCUGAAUGCAUUAAAGAGUAAUUGAUGCACAACUCCCCCGGAAAGAAAAUAACACUUGAAGAUCCCUGUACUAAUUCCUCAUUGGUAAUUUUAGAUAUACAUGCAAGGUUAAUCCAAGUGGACUGGUUUGUUGCUUAGAAGUCAACAUCUUUAUAUGAAAAGCAAACCCUCUGCUUUUUGUUUUUAAACUGGCAGGGUAAAAAAUACAACUCUAACGAAAAUGGUGAAAAGCUAAGGAAAAAUACCUUGUUUGGUGUAUGCAGAGAGAGUGCCAAAUACACAUCAGGAAUUUCAACUCUUUAAUGUUACCUCUUCUGUUUUCAAUCAUCUUAAGUAGUUGUUUGGCACUACCUGCCUCUCUGCUGCUCUGAAAUGUCCCAGCAUGUACUGGACUGAUAGCAUGAAUCACUGGAGCAGAGUGCCUGUCUUGGGACAAAAGUUGGUGUCCCUAGCUUCUAUUUUUACUCGUCUAUCUUUCAUUGGUUAUGACUGUAAUGCAAUUACAUUUCCAAAAGACAAUGUGACUUUCUCAUUUUCACCUUUUUAAACUUAAUAUAAAUGUUCUGAAUGUUCACGUGUUGCAUUUAUUUGCAUCGGGAUGCCAUUGUCCUGUAAAGUGCAAAUUUUAAAAAUACAAUUGGCAAAAAGAUUUGAUAGUUUUACAGAAAGAUUUGCUAUCUUAAACUCAAACUGUUUUCUAUUUUCAUCUAAAUGACUGGGAUGCUAUCUUUGUAAUUCUUUGAGGUCAUAUUUGUGAAAUAAACAAUACACGAAAGCUUUCCUGUCAUAUA